AAUUUUCUUAUCAAAAGCCGGCAUAUUCAUAGCAGUUUUUGAAAUCUUCACAAUUUUCCCAAAUUAACUUUUCAACAACCUAAACUUGCCUAACCUUACUCCGCCUGUCUUGUUUCGCCUGUACUAACCUAUCUCUUUUACAGAAAAUCCUACCGAUGGCAAACUGAAUGGUCACGUCCGAGAGGAACGCCGGGCAACGCUCGCUAGCUCAGAAUCACUUACCGCAGGAAUAAAUUGAAAGUGAAUAGAAGACUCUUUUCUUGAACGGAUCAUACGCGAACAGAAUUGAUAGUAUACACAGGAUACAGGAACCACAAAACAAUGACGUAUGUAUCAGCGUGAACUUUUAUGUAUAGUUUGAAUUGUGCUGAUGAAAAUGUGUAGUGUUGAAUUGAAUUUGUAGAGUUAGUAUUCAGAAGUAGCAAAAAUAAAGUCUAAUUUGUUAUAGACUAUAAAUGAACCUUCGCUGCAAAGAUAGCCUUUUCUUAUGCAUGUUUGUCCGUGGGGCAAACAUCCAUCAGGAGAACUAAUAAUACAUAUAAUAAAUACCAUAUCUAAUAAUAUUGGAUUAGCUAGAGUUGACUCAGUAAUUGCAUUUCAAUUGUUGCCAUUUGAAACGUUAUACAGCGAAUGUUUUUAGAAGGUUGUACAAUAUUUAUGUUUUAGUAAAUAGACCACUAUUGAUUGAAUCUUGUAUAUAUUAUGUCGACAAAAGGUAAGCUAGAAUUGGAAAUUAUAACAUAUGUUACAAAUGA